rnacentral:lncRNA from 1 species
ACCUGAACCAAUUCAUCCACCUGGCCCUGGCACUGGCCAGCAAAUACCAGCCUCGUGACUCGUUACUCAAAGGUGCUGUUAUGGAAGUGCUGCCUACCAUGUUCUAUGAAAAUUCGCACUCUGAAGAUACUCCACUUCAUAACUGUGGACACUUACUUGGCCCAAGGUGCUACCUGGCCCUCUUUAUGUCACCUUGUGGGGAUUGAGCUUUGGAGAACCAGCACAAGAAAAUGCUGCUAUUCUGGCUAUUGCUAAAGUCCACAACCUCUUUCUCAACAAAAGACUUCAUGCUGAGAAAAUUCUAGAACCAGUUGAUUUUCAGCAUCUCCACGUGUCCAGCAUCUUCCCCAAGAGGAAGUCUUCUAGCUGAGCUGAUGCUUCCUGCAUGUUCUGAGUAAGAGUUGUCAAAGAAUGUUUCCUCUCCUCUGCUGACGUCGGUGCUGUGCUGGCCCUGGAAGCACACCAUCAGGCGCUCGUGGGAAUGAUGGCACGUUGACUGCACCCUGUCUAUGUGCAGGUUGAGCUGCAACAUCUUCAUGGAGGACUUCUGUUUUCUCAGAUCUACCCAUGGUUUGCUUGGCCAGCUGCCUAGUGUGGUUGAACUUCAUCACUGCAGCAGAGGCAGCCUGCCCUUAGGGGCUGGGACCCCACAGGGAACGGCGGCAGCAGUGGCUCCCCAGGCCAGCCUUUGGCCAUGUCAUGUGCCACUUCCAGUAACACAUCCCUACUUCCUUUUUAUGUUUCUGUUUCUGCCAUCUUAGCUCAAGUUGACCUCUGGUAGGAUCUCCAAGUUGAAUUUGGCUAAAUCAUCACAUCAGCUGCAUGGAAUUCAUGGAAGAUGGUCCUUCUAUCAGGUGAAAUGUGGAAGUAUGGAAACCUA